AGGGCGCACGGUGGAUGCCUUGGCACUAGGAGCCGACGAAGGACGUGACAAACGACGAUAUGCCUUGGGUAGCUGUAAGUAAGCGAUGAUCCAGGGAUUUCCGAAUGGGGGAACCCAACAGGUAGUACCUGUUACCCACAUCUGUUAAGGAUGUGAGGAGGAAGACGCAGUGAACUGAAACAUCUAAGUAGCUGCAGGAAGAGAAAGCAAAAGCGAUUGCCUUAGUAGCGGCGAGCGAAACGGCAGAAGGGCAAACCGAAGAGUUUACUCUUCGGGGUUGUAGGACUGCAAUGUGGACUCAAAGAUUAUAGAAGAAUGAUUUGGGAAGAUCAGCCAAAGAGAGUAAUAGCCUCGUAUUUAAAAUAGUCUUUGUACCUAGCAGUAUCCUGAGUACGGCGGGACACGUGAAAUCCCGUCGGAAUCUGGGAGGACCAUCUCCCAACCCUAAAUACUCCCUAGUGACCGAUAGUGAACCAGUACCGUGAGGGAAAGGUGAAAAGCACCCCGGGAGGGGAGUGAAAUAGAACCUGAAACCGUGUGCCUACAACAAGUUCGAGCCCGUUAAUGGGUGAGAGCGUGCCUUUUGUAGAAUGAACCGGCGAGUUACGUUAUGAUGCGAGGUUAAGUUGAAGAGACGGAGCCGUAGGGAAACCGAGUCUGAAUAGGGCGCCUUAGUAUCAUGACGUAGACCCGAAACCAUGUGACCUACCCAUGAGCAGGUUGAAGGUGCGGUAAGACGCACUGGAGGACCGAACCAGGGCACGUUGAAAAGUGCUUGGAUGACUUGUGGGUAGCGGAGAAAUUCCAAACGAACUUGGAGAUAGCUGGUUCUCUCCGAAAUAGCUUUAGGGCUAGCGUCGACAUUAGAGAUUCUUGGAGGUAGAGCACUGUUUGGGUGAGGGGUCCAUCCCGGAUUACCAAUCUCAGAUAAACUCCGAAUGCCAAUGAAUUAUGGUCGGCAGUCAGACUGCGAGUGCUAAGAUCCGUAGUCGAAAGGGAAACAGCCCAGACCACCAGCUAAGGUCCCAAAAUAAUUGUUAAGUGGAAAAGGAUGUGGGGUUGCACAGACAACUAGGAUGUUAGCUUAGAAGCAGCUAUUCAUUCAAAGAGUGCGUAAUAGCUCACUAGUCGAGUGACCCUGCGCCGAAAAUGUACCGGGGCUAAAACAAUUUACCGAAGCUGUGGAUACCUUUAUAGGUAUGGUAGGAGAGCGUUCUAUGUGUGAUGAAGGUAUACCGUGAGGAGUGCUGGAACGCAUAGAAGUGAGAAUGCCGGUAUGAGUAGCGAAAGACAGGUGAGAAUCCUGUCCACCGUAAGACUAAGGUUUCCAGGGGAAGGCUCGUCCGCCCUGGGUUAGUCGGGACCUAAGGAGAGACCGAAAGGUGUAUCCGAUGGACAACAGGUUGAUAUUCCUGUACUAGAGUAUGUAGUGAUGGAGGGACGCAGUAGGCUAACUAAAGCAGACGAUUGGAAGAGUCUGUCUAAGCAGUGAGGUGUGAAUUGAGUCAAAUGCUUAAUUCUAUAACAUUGAGCUGUGAUGGGGAGCGAAGUUUAGUAGCGAAGUUAGUGACGUCACACUGCCAAGAAAAGCUUCUAGCGUUUAAACAUACUCUACCCGUACCGCAAACCGACACAGGUAGUCGAGGCGAGUAGCCUCAGGUGAGCGAGAGAACUCUCGUUAAGGAACUCGGCAAAAUGACCCCGUAACUUCGGGAGAAGGGGUGCUGACUUAAAGUCAGCCGCAGUGAAUAGGCCCAAGCAACUGUUUAUCAAAAACACAGCUCUCUGCUAAAUCGUAAGAUGAUGUAUAGGGGGUGACGCCUGCCCGGUGCUGGAAGGUUAAGAGGAGUGCUUAGCGUAAGCGAAGGUAUGAAUUGAAGCCCCAGUAAACGGCGGCCGUAACUAUAACGGUCCUAAGGUAGCGAAAUUCCUUGUCGGGUAAGUUCCGACCCGCACGAAAGGCGUAAUGAUUUGGGCACUGUCUCAACGAGAGACUCGGUGAAAUUUUAGUACCUGUGAAGAUGCAGGUUACCCGCGACAGGACGGAAAGACCCCAUGGAGCUUUACUGCAGUUUGAUAUUGAGUGUCUGUACCACAUGUACAGGAUAGGUAGGAGUCUAAGAGAUCGGGACGCCAGUUUCGAAGGAGACGCUGUUGGGAUACUACCCUUGUGUUAUGGCCACUCUAACCCAGAUAGGUGAUCCCUAUCGGAGACAGUGUCUGACGGGCAGUUUGACUGGGGCGGUCGCCUCCUAAAAGGUAACGGAGGCGCCCAAAGGUUCCCUCAGAAUGGUUGGAAAUCAUUCCCAAAGUGUAAAGGUAUAAGGGACCUUGACUGCCAAACUUCACUCGGCAGGGGCGAGUCGGGUUAAUGAUCCG
rnacentral:rRNA from 1 species